rnacentral:rRNA from 1 species
AUUGAACGCUGGCGGCAUGCCUUUCACAUGCAAGUCGAACGGUAACGGGCCUUCGGGUGCCGACGAGUGGCGCACGGGUGAGUAAUACAUCGGAACGUGCCCGAUCGUGGGGGAUAACGAGGCGAAAGCUUUGCUAAUACCGCAUACGAUCUACGGAUGAAAGCAGGGGACCGCAAGGCCUUGCGCGGACGGAGCGGCCGAUGGCAGAUUAGGUAGUUGGUGGGAUAAAAGCUUACCAAGCCGACGAUCUGUAGCUGGUCUGAGAGGAUGAUCAGCCACACUGGGACUGAGACACGGCCCAGACUCCUACGGGGGGCAGCAGUGGGGAAUUUUGGACAAUGGGCGCAAGCCUGAUCCAGCCAUGCCGCGUGCAGGAUGAAGGCCUUCGGGUUGUAAACUGCUUUUGUACGGAACGAAAAGCCUUCUUUUAAUACAGGAGGGUCAUGACGGUACCGUAAGAAUAAGCACCGGCUAACUACGUG